UACGUAGGGGGCAAGCGUUGUCCGGAAUCAUUGGGCGUAAAGCGCGUGUAGGCGGCUUGGUAAGUCUGCUCUGAAAGCCCGGGGCUCAACCCCGGGAGGCGGGUGGAUACUGUCAAGCUCGAGUCCGGAAGAGGAGUGUGGAAUUCCUGGUGUAGCGGUGAAAUGCGUAGAUAUCUGGAGGAACACCGGUGGCGAAGGCGGCAUCCUGGACCGGCAUUGACGCUGAGGAGCGAAGCCAGGGAGCAAACGGG
rnacentral:rRNA from 1 species